UGCCAGCCGCCGCGGUAAGACAGAGGGUGCGAGCGUUAAUCGGAAUUACUGGGCGUAAAGGGCACGUAGGCGGCUAUGUAAGUCGGAUGUGAAAUCCCUGGGCUUAACCUGGGAAUGGCAUUGGAAACUGCAUGACUAGAGUACAGUAGAGGGUAACGAAAUUUCUGGUGUAGCGGUGAAAUGCGUAGAGAUCGGAAGGAACACCAAUGGCGAAGGCAGUUACCUGGGCUGAUACUGACGCUGAAGAGCGAAAGCGUGGGUAGCGAACAGGAUUAUUUA
rnacentral:rRNA from 1 species